rnacentral:rRNA from 1 species
AUUGAACGCUGGCGGCAGGCCUAACACAUGCAAGUCGAGCGGAUGAAGGGAGCUUGCUUCUGGAUUUAGAGGCGGACGGGUGAGUAAUGCCUAGGAAUAUGCCUGGUAGUGGGGGAUAACGUCUGGAAACGGGUGCUAAUACCGCAGACGAGGUGAGGGAGAAAGUGGGGGGUGUUCGGACAUCACGCGAGGAGGUGGGUCUAGGUCGGAUUAGCUAGUUGGUGGGGGAAAGGCCUACUAAGGCGACGAUCCGUAACUGGUCUGAGAGGAUGAUCAGUCACCCUGGAACUGAGACACGGUCCAGACGCCUACGGGAGGCAGCAGUGGGGAAUAUUGGACAAAGGGCGAAAGCCUGAUCCAGCCAUGCCGCGUGUGUGAAGAAGGUCUUCGGAUUGUAAAGCACUUUAAGUUGGGAGGAAGGGCAGUAAGUUAAUACCUUGCUGUUUUGACGUUACCAACAGAAUAAGCACCGGCUAACUUCGUG